GAAACGAGGACACGUCAGCGGUGAAAGCCUUGACCUGGAUUCUGGGAGACUUGACACUCUCAGCAUGUGACCUUGAAUGAGUCACCUCAACUCUCUAGGCCUCAGUUUCUUCUUAUGUAAAAGGGAGGGGAGGUUAACUGUGCCUCCUAACUCCCAGGGCUGUCUUAAGGAGCAAAGUGGACAUGGAAGUAAAACGGCAUCAAGUGAGAAGGAAAUGCAAGAAGGAGAGCUGCUGGGAGUGAAGCAGACAUUGGGUUGCGCUCUCAGGAGCCCUGGAGACAGUUAUCCACGAGGAUCCUGGCGCUGAGCUGCGUGCUGGAUGGGAGGAUGGAUGAGAGGCGGCCCCUCUUCUCAGAAGCUCUGAACCUUGUGGAGAGAGCUACUGCUGGGAAGAAAGUGGUGUACACAAAAGGGCAGCAUCUCCCUCAAAGUGUGUGGCCAGAGCAGAAAGAAUAACCCAGACUUGUUCUUAAAGAAGAAUAUCCAGUGCUAACCUUCAGGAGAGAUGAAGUGGACAGAAGCCAGAUGCCGAGGGUGACAAAGUGGGCGAUGGGGUGAGAGGCAUCAGCCAUAGUGGUAAGAGCAGCAGUUACCUCGUGUGUUAAAGGUAAUGUUUGUGUACUGCGCACUUCCUAUGUGCUGGAUAUGCAUUUCAGGCCAGCUAAAUUAAUCUGCACAAGAGUCUUGCUAGAUAGGUGUUCAUGUGCCCGUUUUACAGAUGAGGAAGCUGAGGAAAUGGAGGCACCCAGUAUGGACUUUCUGAAGAUGGAAAUGGGAUGGCCUUGCCAAGUGGUGACUAUUGCACACAGCAAGAAGACUCUUGUCCUCAAUUCCUCCUCCUCCCUCUGCCUCCUGACCUCUCGGUGCCUCACGUUGUGGCCUCCAUGGUGGUGACGUGCCCCCUUCCUUUGGGAACUGUGAGUAACAAACUGUCUUUGCAAUGGCAAUCGGCUUCUGGUCUGAUGGUCUUACAAUAUCACAAAUUUCUAUUAAUGCACUAUAUUUUAAAACAACUCCUUUAUUUAUGAACCCUUUUUUUGCGCUCUCUCCAUAUCAGGCACUGUGCUCUUUGGAAACAAUCACCCACUUCCUCCUCAGAACAGCUCAGUGAGGCAGGUACUAUCCUCAUCCCCAUUUUAGAGAGGGGAAACGAGGCACAGAGUAGUGAAGUAAAAUGCCCAAGGACACACAGCUAGUAAGUGGAAUCCACACACUUCUGCCCCAGAGUCGAUAUUAAUCUUCUGCUAAGCCACUCUCCAUGAUUUGGCCACAUUCAGACUAAUAUCAAGGGGAACAGAAACGGAGCUCUCUAAAGUCCGCAUCUGGGGGCGUCAGGUUAGCUGGUGACCUCCUGCGUGCAGCACUGGUACCUGAGUUUGGGUGUUUAUCCUCCCCUGAACAGGAUGGUCUGGGCUGGGCGAUCCAAGUCUCAGGGCAGCUGCUGCAGAACCCGACCUGUCACACCUUUGUCCUGUAUGUGUGUCCCUCAUCUCAUCCCAGGACCAGCAUUUCCAAUGUGCCCCCCAUUUGUAUUUCAG